rnacentral:rRNA from 1 species
UACGUAGGGUGCGAGCGUUGUCCGGAAUUAUUGGGCGUAAAGAGCUCGUAGGCGGUGUGUCGCGUCGGCCGUGAAAACCUGGGGCUUAACUCUGGGCGUGCGGUCGAUACGGGCAUCACUGGAGUUCGGCAGGGGAGACUGGAAUUCCUGGUGUAGCGGUGAAAUGCGCAGAUAUCAGGAGGAACACCGGUGGCGAAGGCGGGUCUCUGGGCAUUCCCUGACGGCUGAGGAGCGAAAGUGUCGGGGAGCGAACAGG